rnacentral:lncRNA from 12 species
GGGGGGGGGGGGGGGGGGGGGGGGGGGGGGGGGGGGGGGGGGGGGGGGGGGGGGGGGGGGGGGGGGGGGGGGGGGGGGGGGGGGGGGGGGGGGGGCCGCCCUUUUUCUACUCUUUUCCCUCACCUUUUCCCCUUUCCCCUCUUUUUAACCCCUUUCCUCUCUUUUCCACUCCUUCCCCCUCUUUUUAUCCCCUUUUUUUAACCCCUCUUUUCUUUCCCCCGCUUUUUUAAACCCCUCUUUCCCCUUCCCCUUUUUUUCUUCCUUUUUCCUCCACCUUUUCCCCUCACUUUCCCCCAUCCCUCCCCUAAGCGUCCCCAGUCCUGCCGGGCCCCUGUUCCCGUGAAGAUGCGGGCGGUGUUCGCCUUUCCCAGGGCUGGGACCUCUCCGGGGGUGAAGAGCCCCCCAGGUCGCCAUCCCUCACGGGCUGGGGGCCUGGCUUACAGUGAAAGUGCCAGCGCCACUUUAAUUCUCCCCCUCCCUCCAGGUGUGCCGGUGCUGUCCUUGCCAGCUGGGAAAGCGCCAUCGUCCCAGAGCCUCCGGGGAAUCCCGAACAGCAGCGAUAAAAGUCCAUGAAAAUAGGACAAGAAGAAUCCUUCCUCCUCCUUUCCAGGGAAAUAAAUUCUUUACCUACACCCCUUGAACUUCUCUACCUGGGAAAUCCAGCAGGCAGAGGAUGCUGGAAGCCUUUUCAACACCUCUAAUGGGCAUCUUCAAAUGGAGGUGUGACAGUGAUUGUUUCAGGCUGGAGAUGGCUUUUCUUUCACAUGCUAAUCAUCUGCUCAUGGUGAUAUUUCCCAGCAUCGUUGGAGUCAGCGAAUUGAAUAAUUUAUGGAAUGAGUUUUGUUGUAAAUUUAUUGUGUCACAAGCAGGUUGUAAUUUCACUAACAGUACACUUAAGUUAUUAAGUAAAAAAAAAAUAAUGUGGUUGAUAGGACGGUGCAUUUGGAGGUUCUCUUGCUCCCUCCCCAACCAGUUCGCAUCUUAUAUAUUUUCAAACAGAGUAUUUACCUAAUUUUUAUUCAGAAUCUGAUCUGAGAAAGAGAGCGAGAGAGGACAUUAACAUAAGUGGGUUUGCAUUUGCACACUAUUGUUGAAUCUGG